UGAGGAAUAUUGGUCAAUGGGCGAGAGCCUGAACCAGCCAAGUCGCGUGAAGGAAUACGGCCCUAUGGGUCUUAAACUUCUUUUGUAUAGGGGUAAAGGUAUGUACGUGUACAUAUUUGCAAGUACUAUACGAAUAAGGAUCGGCUAACUCCGUGCCAGCAGCCGCGGUAAUACGGAGGAUGCGAGCGUUAUCCGGAUUUAUUGGGUUUAAAGGGUGCGUAGGCGGUUUGUCAAGUCAGCGGUCAAACUGCGGGGCUUAACCUCGUAUUGCCGUUGAAACUGGCUGACUAGCGUGGCGUCGAGGUGUGCGGAAUGCGUUGUGUAGCGGCGAAAUGCAUAGAUAUGACGCAGAACUCCGAUUGCGAAGGCAGCACACCGGGCGCCUACGGACGCUGAGGCACGAAAGCGUGGGUAUCGAACAGGAUUAGAUACCCUGGUAGU
rnacentral:rRNA from 1 species